rnacentral:rRNA from 1 species
UACGAAGGGGGCUAGCGUUGCUCGGAAUCACUGGGCGUAAAGCGCUCGUAGGCGGCUUUUUAAGUCAGGGGUGAAAUCCUGGAGCUCAACUCCAGAACUGCCUUUGAUACUGGGAAGCUCGAGUCCGGGAGAGGUGAGUGGAACUCCGAGUGUAGAGGUGAAAUUCGUAGAUAUUCGGAAGAACACCAGUGGCGAAGGCGGCUCACUGGCCCGGUACUGACGCUGAGGUGCGAAAGCGUGGGGAGCAAACAGG